AUAUUGAAGAAUCUUUUCAGUUUCUCAGUCAUUUUGGACUUGUUGUCCCCUAAAUUAGCCAUAAUAUAGUAAUACAGAGUUUGACAAAACUCAAAGAAAUAACCACUCUGUAAAAUAUUUUCAUGGAAAAUGUUUUCUAGAAAAUGUUUUCAUAGAAAAUAAAUAGUUUUAUCACUUAAUUUCCGUUGUUUGGUUGGUGGGUGAAAAACUUUUUCCGAAAAAUAUUUUUUAGUGUUUGGUUAAAGAAAGAAAAUAUUUUCACUACAACAAAUUUGGCCUAUGACUACACUUAUUUUAAACUACGCCUGAAAAGAGUUGCUAGAGGUAUUUGUAGGCACGCUUUUAUUUGUGUGGCCUUUAUUACGAGCUUUUGGCAACGGAAUAACCGAAGCAUACAAAUCAAGCGUUGAAGUCUUGUUGUUCAGUAAGUUGAAGUGAUGGUGAAUUCUACUUAUCCGUGUUUUGCUUUGCUACAGAUGAGUUAUUUGAGUUUUUCUGUCAUUUUUUAACUUUUUGGGGUCUUUAAUCUUACGUAAGUAUUCAAUCACUCUCUAGUCUUUUGGUCUCUGCUCAGGUACAAUAGGUUCCUCAACAUUCAGGUCAGUCUUUUUCUAUUUAUGUAUUUGUAUAUGAUAUAAGCUAUGCCAACAGUGUUCAAAAUCAAAGAAUGAAAAAAAAGGCUUGUUUCUUGACAGAAAGAGUGUUAUUUUAUAAAAUUUGGAACUUUUUUAAUGAAAUUAUGGAUCUAUGAAAAAUGAAGGUCUGGUAGUUAAUUCCAUUAUGCAAUUUGAAAUUUUAGUCAAAGAUCUGUAGUAUUUUAUCAUGUUUAACUAGUUCCACUUUGUUUCAACGGUGGAUAGACUCUAAAAUUUCUCUCUAAUUAGAAGUAGAAAAUUGUGGAAAAUAUCAUCUAUAAUGACUCUGUUGAUUAGAGUCGUGCAAUCAAUCUUUGAGGCUUUAGAUAUGUAUCAUGUUCAAUUAAUCAAUGAAUUAAUGACAUUUUUAUUGGUGUUAAUAUUAUGCUACGGAAAAUCUCAGAAAAUGUGAAAACGAGUAAGAGAAAUGGUAUUUUAGUGCUGAGGCUUAAGUUUCCAUUGGUUUACUGAAUUCCUAUUGGUAACCUACUUGUGGUUUAAAUAGAUAAUUUCUCUCUAAGAUGAGCACAAAACUAUCUUGGUUUAGAUAAUUUGUUAACUGAAUUCUUAUUGACAAGGAUUUAAAAGGAACUCCUAUAGCAUCCACGGAUUGAGUGUGAGGCAAGAUAAUGUCAUUGCACAUGAAGCCAAUAGUUGCUGCAUCAUUAAUUGUUCUAAAGCUUUCAUUAGUCUAGAUUGCAUUUUAAAAUUUCUAUUGCUAAGGUUCCAAUUUUGAAAAGCAAUUGUCUUUAUGUAGCUGGUUCAGAUUUGGGAUUAUCUGCUUUAGUGACAAUAAUGCCAAUUUGUUUUGCUCAUAAUUUGCAGCCUCUUGUGAGUUCGAGUCAGGGUUGCUCUGAUGGUAAGCGCCCUCCACUUCCAACCAAGAGGGUGUGAGUUCGAGUCACCCCAAGAGCAAGGUGGGAGUUUUUUGACGGAAGGAUGCCGAGUUUCUAUUGGAAACAGCCUCUCUACCCUAGGGUAGGGGUAAGGUCUGCGUACACACUACCCUCCCCAGACCCCACUAAUGAGAUUAUACUGGGUUGUUGUUGUUGUUGCAGCCUCUUGUAAUUAUUGUUAGAGAAUCAAGCUGUCUUAAUGCCCGCCAGAUGCACUUGGUAUAUUUUAAAGUACCUUUCUGGUAAUAGAAACAUCAUGUGCGUCAUAUACAUGUUUAGAACAUCUAGGGGGUUGUGUUCUUAUUUUAUAACUCUAGAUUCGUUAAGAUAUCACAAUCAUUUUAAUAAUUUUGGACAUCAUUCUGGAUAAAAAGUAAUCUUUCUUUGUAAUUUAUUCAUCUUUCUUUGUUUCUUUCAGUCUUGUGUACCUAAUGUCUUAAGAAGAGAGCUCUCUAUCUCUAGAAUCGAUGCGUCUUAAAAAAUAUACAGAGGGGAGGAGUGAGAUUGACACAUGUACUCAGACAAAUCUGAUACUUUUUCAGUCGCUUAAAUGAGCAGGUAGAUUCCUCUUACCUAAGAAAUGAAAGGGGGCACUUCACCGAAUGAUAGGUAAAAUAUGGGACGUUCAGUAAACAAUCCCUUAGCCCAAGUCCUCGGAGAUACCCAAGGCAGCUCCCCGUGUCCUUUAUACCGAUGAUUUUCAUUAUCAUUCAAUUUUGUAUGAAAACAAUAUAGGUGAGAUUUCAUCAAUUGA